rnacentral:rRNA from 1 species
UACGGGGGGGGCAAGCGUUGUCCGGAUUCAUUGGGCGUAAAGCGCGCGUAGGCGGCCCGGUAAGUCGGAUGUGAAAUCUCACGGUUCAACCGUGGAACUGCAUUCGAAACUGUCGGGCUAGAGGCAGGUAGGGGAGAUCGGAAUUCCCGGUGUAGCGGUGAAAUGCGCAGAUAUCGGGAGGAACACCGGUGGCGAAGGCGGAUCUCUGGGCCUGUCCUGACGCUCAGGCGCGAAAGCUAGGGGAGCGAACAGG